GAAUGAUGGGUGGUGGUGAAUCACCAUGUGGAUGCUGAGAACUGAACCUGGGUCCUUUGCAAGAGCAAUAAUGCUCUUAACUGCUCAGCCAUGUGUCCAGCCUCCUGUGUUUUCUUUUUUAAACUUAGGGCUAAUUUAUUAUUAUGACGGUGAUGUGUGUAUUUGCGAGUGUAAGUAUGCUUAUGAAAACACAAUGACUUAAGCAUGGUGAACAGGUUGCAGGAGUAUGUUCUCUCCUUGUGCUGUGGGACCCAGAACUGAACUCAGGUUGUUAGGCUUGGGCAACAAACACCUGCUGAAACAUUCUACCAGUCCUGCUUUUUAAUUUUAUAUUCCCUGUUAUACUGAUGAGCAGAAAUUCUUUCCCUCACCCUAUGGCUUCUAAAGACGCAACUGUGGGAUUCUUUUCUUUCCCUAGAUGCCCCGCCCCUGCCUUGCAGGGGUGUGAGCUGCCCUUCUCUGGUUCUUGGAUUGGAUCAAGGCUGGAGAAAAGGACUGAGACAGCCCCUCAGCCAUGAUGAUUUGCCUGGAGGACCUCAGAAGAUAAAUCCCAUUGAUCCCGGACUUCUAGCCUCCAGAACAAUGAGGCAAACAUCUUCUAUAGAUUAGAAUUUACUCAGUCUGUGGUUUUGUGUUAUUUAUCUACAAGAAAACAAUACCUUUAUUUGUUUUAAAUCAUUAUUUUUAUGUAUGCAUAUGUGUGUCUGUAUAAAUAUAUGCUGCAUAUA